AGUGAACGCUGGCGGCAGGCCUAAUACAUGCAAGUCGAGCGAACAGACCAGGAGCUUUCGCCUCUGAGGGUAGCGGCGGACGGAUGGGUAACACGUGGAUAACCUACCUCUAAGACUGGGGUGAUAUCGUGGAACCGGAGCUAAUACCGGAUAAUAUAUUGAACCGCAUGCUUCCAGCGUGAAAUACGCUUUUUCUGUCACUUAUAGAUGGAUCCGCGCCGCAUUAGCUAGUUGGUCAGGUAACGGCUUAUCAAGGCAACGAUGCGUAGCCGACCUGAGAGGGUGAUCGGCCACACUGGAACUGAGACACGGUCCAGACUCCUACAGGGGGCAGCAGUCGGGAAUAUUCGGCAAGGGGCGAAAGCCUGAUGGAGCAAAAUCGCGUGAGUGAUGAAGGACUUCGGAUGGUAAAACGCUGUUGUUAGGAAAGAACAAAAGUGUAAGUAACUAUGACGGUCAUGACGGUACCCAAAGAAGAAGCCCCGGCUAACUUCGUG
rnacentral:rRNA from 1 species